GUCUAACUGCAUUAGUUCAUCAGGUCAUUUCCUAGAUCAUGCACUUUUUAUCUAUAAAAGGCAUCCUAUUCUUUUAAAUAUUUUUUGGUUUUAGGUGGACACAAUAUCUUUAUUUUUAUGUGGUGCUGAGAAUCGAACCCAGUGCCUCACGCAUGCCAGGCAAGCGUGCUACCACUUGAGCCACACCCUCAGCACAAAAGGCAUCCUAUUUCUGUUAUGCAUCUUGGUUGAUGAUUCUGGCAUAAGGGAGGCUGCUGAUUUCCAGAGGAACUCUGAUCUGGCAUGCCAGCUGCAGAGUGGAUGAAGUUGUUUUGGCCUAGAGCAGCAUCCAGAGCAUAAUAGAUGCUCAGUAAAAACUAAUGGUAAGGGGCUGGGGAUGUGGCUCAAGCGGUAGCGCGCUCGCCUGGCAUGCGUGCGGCCCGGGUUCGAUCCUCAGCUCCACAUACAAACAAAGAUGUUGUGUCCGCCGAGAACUAAAAACUAAAUAUUAAAAAAUUCUCUCUCUUCUUAAAAAGAAAAAAA
rnacentral:lncRNA from 1 species